rnacentral:rRNA from 1 species
GAUGAACGCUGGCGGCGUGCCUAAUACAUGCAAGUCGAGCGAACAGACGAGGAGCUUGCUCCUCUGACGUUAGCGGCGGACGGGUGAGUAACACGUGGAUAACCUACCUAUAAGACUGGGAUAACUUCGGGAAACCGGAGCUAAUACCGGAUAAUAUAUUGAACCGCAUGGUUCAAUAGUGAAAGACGGUUUUGCUGUCACUUAUAGAUGGAUCCACGCCGCAUUAGCUAGUUGGUAAGGUAACGGCUUACCAAGGCAACGAUGCGUAGCCGACCUGAGAGGGUGGUCGGCCACACUGGAACUGAGACACGGUCCAGACUCCUACGGGAGGCAGCAGUAGGGAAUCUUCCGCAAUGGGCGAAAGCUUGACGGAGCAACGCCGCGUGAGUGAUGAAGGUCUUCGGAUCGUAAAACUCUGUUAUUAGGGAAGAACAAAUGUGUAAGUAACUAUGCACGUCUUGACGGUACCUAAUCAGAAAGCCACGGCUAACUACGUG